GGUGUGGGUUCCAUUGAAACGCUUUUCCCUGUCGUCCCCUCUCUCACUCUGAGACCCUAGAAGAUAUCCUGCUGAUCUUCUAAAGGAGGAGGGGAGGCAGUGAGUGACCUAGAUUUCAAAUCAGAAAGACAGGUAGAGCCAGCUCGCCUGUCUUCAAAAGGCUGCCCGUGCACUGGGUUCUGGGGUUUUGGAAGGAGCCAGAAGGAAGAUGUUCCCCGGGCUCCUACCCAGAUGCUCCUGCUUAUAGGGAGAAACAAGACUCAGAGAAGUCCAAAGAAACUAAGCCGAGAAGCAGACAGCAGAACAAAAUUUCAAGCCCCACGUUCUGCGCCUUCGGGCAACGGCCAUGAAACAAGAGGUCACAGCCGCGGAAUGGCUUGAGCCCCAGCUCUCAUCACAGAUUUCGUUAUGCUCCAAUGGUAGAAACAAAGGGAAGGUUUUGUGUCUCCUGUUUUUAAGGUUGAGAGAGAGCCAUAGAAGGGGACAGAGCUUAAACAAGGCCCCCUCCUGCCUUUCUCCUGCGUAGGCAAUGCUGGCCCAGUGGCCCCAUCCACUGGGUGUCCCUGUGCCCUGGGCUCCUGGAGGAACCCUGCUGACCAGAGGAGCUCCCCGAAAAGCCCACACUCAGCACUUUUCACCCCCUUCCCUUCCCCUUUCACUUCCUGACACUAUUUGGGGCUGUGUCUGCCUCCUCCAAGGGCACAGCGUUCCUCACUCAUCUGGGCGUCCCAGGGUGCCAGGCACGAUGGCCUGCGAUGGGGGCUCACUCUGGUCACUCACCUUUGUAUCCACAGGGAAAUGGGGAAGCUCUGCAAACCCGGGCCAGGGCACAGCUUGGACAAUCUGUCACCAGUGUGCAGAGUCAGCUGAGAAACACAAUCCUGCCCAGGCUUUCUGUGGCUGCGGCCAAGAGGGUAGGGCUGCUGGGCUGAAGGCUGUCAAGUGACUGGGCAAAAAAAGCCAGCCUCAGCCUGCAUGGCCGCAGCAGUCCAUCCUGCAACAGAAUAAUUCCUCUUAGUGGGAACAGGCCUCCCACGCUUAUCACAAAGCGCGGGCUGCCUUUCCAAUGCGGCUGGAGGAGAUUUACAAAAAGAAAAGGAAGUCGCCCUUACAUCUUGGGGAAGUUUAAAGACACCUGGAGAAUGAAAUCUUGGAUUUUACUUUCCUGAAAGGCUGAGGCUAGGCAUAAUUCUCUGCCUUUGUUCCCCUCCUUUGUCUUGGUUAAAUGUUCCUGGCCAUACUGUACCUGUGGUUUUAUUGUCGUCCUUUUUGGGAACAAGCAGGAUAUAAAUCAGUCAGUGAAAUUUUAGAAUGUAGCUCUUUGGUCUAGCAUCUAAGUAGAUAAAGAAGAAACGGGCACUUAAUAAGUGCCUCUGGAGGCUUGUGAUUUGCAUGGGGCUCCCAAUGAAAGGUAAAGUCUUUGCUUAGAGGUUACACACACCGAAUGCAGGGUGGUCCUCAGGCCUCUGGUCACAGCAUGCACAGUGCUGGUGCCUCGAUCUGCAAACCUGGUGCGCGCAGCCGCUGGGGACCAUCUGCCCCAAGGCCACCCCAGGACUUAUCAGAAAGGAGAAGAGUUGGCCGGGCGCGGUGGCCUGGUG
ensembl:lncRNA novel transcript